GUGCUCGCCUCAGCAGCACGUACACUAGAACCGGGACGGUACAGAGAAGAUUAACACAGCCCCUGUGCAAGGAUGACACCCAAGUUCAUUUUU
ensembl:snRNA U6 U6 spliceosomal RNA